UACGUAGGGGGCUAGCGUUGUCCGGAAUCAUUGGGCGUAAAGAGCGCGUAGGCGGCCAGAUAAGUCCGGUGUGAAAGUCAAAGGCUCAACCUUUGAAUGCCGCUGGAAACUGUCUGGCUAGAGUCCGGGAGGGGCGAGUGGAAUUCCUGGUGUAGCGGUGAAAUGCGCAGAUAUCAGGAAGAACACCCGUGGCGAAGGCAGCUCUCUGGGGACGGUACUGACGCUGAGACGC
rnacentral:rRNA from 1 species